UACGUAGGGUGCAAGCGUUGUCCGGAAUUAUUGGGCGUAAAGAGCUCGUAGGCGGUUUGUCGCGUCUGCUGUGAAAACCCGAGGCUCAACCUCGGGCCUGCAGUGGGUACGGGCAGACUAGAGUGUGGUAGGGGAGAUUGGAAUUCCUGGUGUAGCGGUGGAAUGCGCAGAUAUCAGGAGGAACACCAAUGGCGAAGGCAGAUCUCUGGGCCGUAACUGGCGCUGAGGAGCGAAAGCAUGGGGAGCGAACAGG
rnacentral:rRNA from 1 species